UACGAAGGGGGCUAGCGUUGCUCGGAAUUACUGGGCGUAAAGAGCUCGUAGGCGGCUUGUCGCGUCGUCCGUGAAAACUUGGGGCUCAACCCCAAGCUUGCGGUCGAUACGGGCAGGCUGGAGUUCGGUAGGGGAGACUGGAAUUCCCGGUGUAGCAGUGAAAUGCGUAGAGAUCGGGAGGAACACCAGUGGCGAAGGCGGCCUUCUGGACCAAUACUGACGCUCAUGCACGAAAGCGUGGGGAGCAAACAGG
rnacentral:rRNA from 1 species